UACGAAGGGGGCUAGCGUUGCUCGGAAUCACUGGGCGUAAAGGGUGCGUAGGCGGGUUCUUAAGUCAGAGGUGAAAUCCUGGAGCUCAACUCCAGAACUGCCUUUGAUACUGAGAGUCUUGAGUUCGGGAGAGGUGAGUGGAACUGCGAGUGUAGAGGUGAAAUUCGUAGAUAUUCGCAAGAACACCAGUGGCGAAGGCGGCUCACUGGCCCGAUACUGACGCUGAAGCACGAAAGCGUGGGGAGCGAACAGG
rnacentral:rRNA from 1 species